rnacentral:tRNA from 1 species
UGGGGUAUAGCUCAAUUGUAGAGUGUGUGCUCAACAUGCAUGGGGUCCUGGGUUCAAUCCCCAGUACCCCCA